GACGAACGCUGGCGGCGUGCCUAAUACAUGCAAGUUGAGCGAUGAAGAUUGGUGCUUGCACCAAUUUGAAGAGCAGCGAACGGGUGAGUAACGCGUGGGGAAUCUGCCUUUGAGCGGGGGACAACAUUUGGAAACGAAUGCUAAUACCGCAUAACAACUUUAAACAUAAGUUUUAAGUUUGAAAGAUGCAAUUGCAUCACUCAAAGAUGAUCCCGCGUUGUAUUAGCUAGUUGGUGAGGUAAAGGCUCACCAAGGCGAUGAUACAUAGCCGACCUGAGAGGGUGAUCGGCCACAGUGGGACUGAGACACGGCCCAAACUCCUACGGGAGGCAGCAGUAGGGAAGCUUCGGAAAUGGACGAAAGUCUGACCGAGCAACGCCGCGUGAGUGAAGAAGGGUGUCGGAUCGUAAAACUCUGUUGGUAGAGAAGAACGUUGGUGAGAGUGGAAAGCUCAUUAAGUGACGGUAACUACCCAGAAAGGGACGGCUAACUACGUG
rnacentral:rRNA from 1 species